GAGGAAAGGGAGUAAUAGAUGUACAGAGAUUCUUUGAUUAUUAAUAAUUAUUGUCAGCUUGAUAUAUAAUUAAUUUUUUCUAUGUCUAUUACGUGUUGCUCUAUAGACAGAAGAGAUUAUCCGGCGACUUGAAAGAGUCCUGUCAGUGCCUGGAACUGUACCUGAGAAGCAGCUGUUCAUUACAGAAGUCAUUUUGCCUGAGGUUUUGAUUCAGUGGCUGCAAAACAACAGCAUGUCCCCGAUACCAGGCAGAAUCUGUGCUCCUGAAGAGCACAUUCACCAA